rnacentral:rRNA from 1 species
GACGAACGCUGGCGGCGUGCUUAACACAUGCAAGUCGAACGGAAAGGCCCUGCUUUUGUGGGGUGCUCGAGUGGCGAACGGGUGAGUAACACGUGAGUAACCUGCCCUUGACUUUGUGAUAACUUCAGGAAACUGGGGCUAAUACCGCAUAGGAGCUCCUGCUGCAUGUUGUGGGUUGGAAAGUUUCGGCGGUUGGGGAUGGACUCGAGGCUUAUGAGCUUGUUGGUGGGGUAGUGGCUUACCAAGGCUUUGACGGGUAGCCGGCCUGAGAGGGUGACCGGGCACAUUGGGACUGAGAUACGCACCAGAAUCCUACGGGAGGCAGCAGUGGGGAAUAUUGCACAAUGGGGGGAAGCCUGAUGCAGCAACGCCGCGUGCGGGAUAACGGCCUUCGGGUUGUAAACAGCUUUCGCCUGUGACGAAGCGUGAGUGACGGUAAUGGGUAAAGAAGCAACGGCUAACUACGUG